rnacentral:rRNA from 1 species
GUUAAGCGACUAAGCGUACACGGUGGAUGCCCUGGCAGUCAGAGGCGAUGAAGGACGUGCUAAUCUGCGAUAAGCGUCGGUAAGGUGAUAUGAACCGUUAUAACCGGCGAUUUCCGAAUGGGGAAACCCAGUGUGAUUCGUCACACUAUCAUUAACUGAAUCCAUAGGUUAAUGAGGCGAACCGGGGGAACUGAAACAUCUAAGUACCCCGAGGAAAAGAAAUCAACCGAGAUUCCCCCAGUAGCGGCGAGCGAACGGGGAGCAGCCCAGAGCCUGAAUCAGUGUGUGUGUUAGUGGAAGCGUCUGGAAAGGCGCGCGAUACAGGGUGACAGCCCCGUACACAAAAAUGCACAUACUGUGAGCUCGAUGAGUAGGGCGGGACACGUGGUAUCCUGUCUGAAUAUGGGGGGACCAUCCUCCAAGGCUAAAUACUCCUGACUGACCGAUAGUGAACCAGUACCGUGAGGGAAAGGCGAAAAGAACCCCGGCGAGGGGAGUGAAAAAGAACCUGAAACCGUGUACGUACAAGCAGUGGGAGCACGCUUAGGCGUGUGACUGCGUACCUUUUGUAUAAUGGGUCAGCGACUUAUAUUCUGUAGCAAGGUUAACCGAAUAGGGGAGCCGAAGGGAAACCGAGUCUUAACUGGGCGUUAAGUUGCAGGGUAUAGACCCGAAACCCGGUGAUCUAGCCAUGGGCAGGUUGAAGGUUGGGUAACACUAACUGGAGGACCGAACCGACUAAUGUUGAAAAAUUAGCGGAUGACUUGUGGCUGGGGGUGAAAGGCCAAUCAAACCGGGAGAUAGCUGGUUCUCCCCGAAAGCUAUUUAGGUAGCGCCUCGUGAAUUCAUCUCCGGGGGUAGAGCACUGUUUCGGCAAGGGGGUCAUCCCGACUUACCAACCCGAUGCAAACUGCGAAUACCGGAGAAUGUUAUCACGGGAGACACACGGCGGGUGCUAACGUCCGUCGUGAAGAGGGAAACAACCCAGACCGCCAGCUAAGGUCCCAAAGUCAUGGUUAAGUGGGAAACGAUGUGGGAAGGCCCAGACAGCCAGGAUGUUGGCUUAGAAGCAGCCAUCAUUUAAAGAAAGCGUAAUAGCUCACUGGUCGAGUCGGCCUGCGCGGAAGAUGUAACGGGGCUAAACCAUGCACCGAAGCUGCGGCAGCGACGCUGAUGCGUUGUUGGGUAGGGGAGCGUUCUGUAAGCCUGUGAAGGUGUGCUGUGAGGCAUGCUGGAGGUAUCAGAAGUGCGAAUGCUGACAUAAGUAACGAUAAAGCGGGUGAAAAGCCCGCUCGCCGGAAGACCAAGGGUUCCUGUCCAACGUUAAUCGGGGCAGGGUGAGUCGACCCCUAAGGCGAGGCCGAAAGGCGUAGUCGAUGGGAAACAGGUUAAUAUUCCUGUACUUGGUGUUACUGCGAAGGGGGGACGGAGAAGGCUAUGUUGGCCGGGCGACGGUUGUCCCGGUUUAAGCGUGUAGGCUGGUUUUCCAGGCAAAUCCGGAAAAUCAAGGCUGAGGCGUGAUGACGAGGCACUACGGUGCUGAAGCAACAAAUGCCCUGCUUCCAGGAAAAGCCUCUAAGCAUCAGGUAACAUCAAAUCGUACCCCAAACCGACACAGGUGGUCAGGUAGAGAAUACCAAGGCGCUUGAGAGAACUCGGGUGAAGGAACUAGGCAAAAUGGUGCCGUAACUUCGGGAGAAGGCACGCUGAUAUGUAGGUGAAGCGACUUGCUCGUGGAGCUGAAAUCAGUCGAAGAUACCAGCUGGCUGCAACUGUUUAUUAAAAACACAGCACUGUGCAAACACGAAAGUGGACGUAUACGGUGUGACGCCUGCCCGGUGCCGGAAGGUUAAUUGAUGGGGUCAGCGCAAGCGAAGCUCUUGAUCGAAGCCCCGGUAAACGGCGGCCGUAACUAUAACGGUCCUAAGGUAGCGAAAUUCCUUGUCGGGUAAGUUCCGACCUGCACGAAUGGCGUAAUGAUGGCCAGGCUGUCUCCACCCGAGACUCAGUGAAAUUGAACUCGCUGUGAAGAUGCAGUGUACCCGCGGCAAGACGGAAAGACCCCGUGAACCUUUACUAUAGCUUGACACUGAACAUUGAGCCUUGAUGUGUAGGAUAGGUGGGAGGCUUUGAAGUGUGGACGCCAGUCUGCAUGGAGCCGGCCUUGAAAUACCACCCUUUAAUGUUUGAUGUUCUAACGUUGACCCGUGAUCCGGGUUGCGGACAGUGUCUGGUGGGUAGUUUGACUGGGGCGGUCUCCUCCUAAAGAGUAACGGAGGAGCACGAAGGUUGGCUAAUCCUGGUCGGACAUCAGGAGGUUAGUGCAAUGGCAUAAGCCAGCUUGACUGCGAGCGUGACGGCGCGAGCAGGUGCGAAAGCAGGUCAUAGUGAUCCGGUGGUUCUGAAUGGAAGGGCCAUCGCUCAACGGAUAAAAGGUACUCCGGGGAUAACAGGCUGAUACCGCCCAAGAGUUCAUAUCGACGGCGGUGUUUGGCACCUCGAUGUCGGCUCAUCACAUCCUGGGGCUGAAGUAGGUCCCAAGGGUAUGGCUGUUCGCCAUUUAAAGUGGUACGCGAGCUGGGUUUAGAACGUCGUGAGACAGUUCGGUCCCUAUCUGCCGUGGGCGCUGGAGAACUGAGGGGGGCUGCUCCUAGUACGAGAGGACCGGAGUGGACGCAUCACUGGUGUUCGGGUUGUCAUGCCAAUGGCACUGCCCGGUAGCUAAAUGCGGAAGAGAUAAGUGCUGAAAGCAUCUAAGCACGAAACUUGCCCCGAGAUGAGUUCUCCCUGACUCCUUGAGAGUCCUGAAGGAACGUUGAAGACGACGACGUUGAUAGGCCGGGUGUGUAAGCGCAGCGAUGCGUUGAGCUAACCGGUACUAAUGAACCGUGAGG